CCUCACCCUCCCUCUAUCUCUAUCUUGUUUUUUCGCCGGCCAACUCUAUCUCCGGCCCUUCUCUUCUUUUUUCAUCCUUUUUUUUCUAAACCUUUAUCUAUUUAGAACUCUCUGUCUGUUCUUUGUUUUCCUCGUCAACACCACCACACACCAUUUUCCUUCAAUGAAAUAUUUUUUUUAAUUUUAUUCAAGUGUAAAUUAUAUUUUAGAUUUGAAAUACUCUCGCCCUACUAUUAGAAUUAUUUAGUUGGGAUUUAUGUUGUUGAUUUGAAAUUCAAAUGGGUUCUUGAAAUUGAGCAAAUAUUUACAAGCUUAGAGUAUAGCAAUUCAAAUUAUAUGGGGCUUAUACUCAUUCUUUUCUUCUCUCUUUUUGUUUGAAUAUGAAAAUGCUAUUUCUAUGGUGGUGGAUUUGGGUGAGAAGGAGUCUGAUCUUUUGCUCGAAAAUGGUGGAUGGUUGUCAUGUUUUAUGUGGCAGCCAUAAAUUUUGAAAAUGGAAUAAAAAUUUAUUAUUUUUGGUGAAAAUGAAAGUUUCUUUUUUUGUGUUUAUCAUUUUGGUGAUUGAAAAUACAAGGUUUCUGGUUUUGCUUUGACAGGGUUUUCCAACGACUAAGAUGAAAAAGAUGGAGCAUCGUUUUUAAGUAUUUUCCUUUUAUUUUAAAUUGAUAACACAUGUUAGAAUCUUAUUGGUGCAUGGUACAUACUUAUUGAGAAAAAUUGAUCAAAUACUAAAGUGAUGUGUAUUAGACACACUUUUAAAAAUUGAGUGUGUAAUAUUAUUUUUUCCCAAAAAAAAUAUGUAACAAAUAUUCAAGUUUCAACUUAUGUUUUUAAGCUUAUCUUUUUGUUUGAUAUCUUUCGUUAUACACUACUUUUGUGAAGGAUCCUUCAAGUUUAGUAGACAAAGAAAUAUAAGAGGAAGGACAUAUGUUAAUUUUAAAUGCUCAAAGGGAACUGAGAAGAAUGAUGUAUCUGUAAUUUUCACAUGGUCAAAGGAAGUCAAAUAGCUUGAACAACCAAUUGGUAAUAUAGUUACAAAACCAUGUUCACAUUUGCUUAACAUUUUCAUAGCAACUUCUUAUGUGAGAUAAAGACUAGCUAUUACUUCCUCCAUUCAAUUAACAUGGCACCAUAGAAAAUCGAGGAUCAAACUAAUUUUUAAAGAAUUUAAAUU
rnacentral:lncRNA from 1 species